GGAAAGGAAGGUUUGAAAAGGAAAAGUGUAAGGAAAAGGAAGGAAAACAGAAGGAAAAGGAAGGAUAAAAAGUGUAAGGAAAAGGAAGGAAAACAGAAGGAAAAGGAAGGAUAGGGAAGGAAAAGUGUAAGGAAAAGGAAGGAAAACAGAAGGAAAAGGAAGGAUAGAGAAGGAAAAGUGUAAGGAAAAGGAAGGAAAACAGAAGGAAAAGGAAGGAAAACAGAAGGAAAAGGAAGGAUAGAGAAGGAAAAGUGUAAGGAAAAGGAAGGAAAACAGAAGGAAAAGGAAGGAAAACAGAAGGGAAAGUGUAAGGAAAAGGAAGGAAAACAAAAGGAAAAGGAAGGUCAGAGAAGGAAAAGUGUAAGGAAAAGGAAGGAAAACAGAAGGAAAAGGAAGGAAAACAAGGAAAAGGAAGGUCAGAGAAGGAAAAGUGUAAGGAAAAGGAAGGAAAACAGAAGGAAAAGGAAGGAAAACAAGGAAAAGGAAGGUUAGGGAAGGAAAAGUGUAAGGAAAAGGAAGGAAAACAGAAGGAAAAUGAAGGAAAAGAGAAGGAAAUGUAAGUACCAGGAAUUGAAAAGCCAAUCUCAACCACCACCAUCACCACCACCACCACCACCAACACCGCCAUCCGCCGCCAGCACCUGCCCCAUCACACGUCCGAGAAUGAGAUCGUCCCUCGACUUAUGCAACCCAGCAGUGACGCAGGGGACACCGGGGCUUCGGACUCCCUUCCUCUCUUCACUGGAAACACAAACACGACCCGCCCGCUAUGCCGAGCCGCGCUACGUCCUGUCCGUCUGUCUGUCCGUCUGUCUGCUCUCAGUC